UCUGGCCACUGGCUCAGGCCACAGCGGACACCCUGUUCACAGCCUGCAUCACCCUCCUGAGACAGAACCUUCUCCAGGUGUUUGCCUUUGGGCAGGUCCCAAGGUACCACCUGGAGCUGCUGGAAAGGGUAGUCCUGACAGCAACCCUCUGGUGACCGGUCCUUGCUAGCUCCUCCCCCGACCUCCCUGUAAUGCUGGGUGCAGAGGGAUGCACCAGGGAGCUGCGUGUCGCAGAUAGACCAAUUCCACAGCAGAGGAAUCUAUUUCAACGUUGUAUCAGACUCCAGUCUAGGAAGCAGACCACGCUGAUCACCCCUCUGCUCACUGAGAUAAAUGCAUAUUCUGAUGGCCCCUUUGGAGAAGCUAAUCAGCAACUCAAAAGAAUGCAACCAUUUGUCUCUUAUCUACCUAUGACCUGGAAGCCCCCUCCCUGCUUCAAGUUAUUCUGCCUUUCCGGAGGGAACCAAUGUUCAUCUUACAUAUGUUGAUUGAUGUUUCAUGUCUCCCUAAAAUGUAUAAAAGCAAGCUGUGCUCCAACCACCUUGGGCACAUGUCGUCAGGAUUUCCUGAGGCUGUAUCACAGGCGUGCGUCCUUAGCUUUGGUAAAAUAAACUUCCUAAAUUGAUUGA